rnacentral:rRNA from 1 species
GACGAACGCUGGCGGCGUGCCUAAUACAUGCAAGUAGAACGCUGAAGAGAGGAGCUUGCUCUUCUUGGAUGAGUUGCGAACGGGUGAGUAACGCGUAGGUAACCUGCCUUGUAGCGGGGGAUAACUAUUGGAAACGAUAGCUAAUACCGCAUAACAAUGGAUGACCCAUGUCAUUUAUUUGAAAGGGGCAAAUGCUCCACUACAAGAUGGACCUGCGUUGUAUUAGCUAGUAGGUGAGGUAACGGCUCACCUAGGCGACGAUACAUAGCCGACCUGAGAGGGUGAUCGGCCACACUGGGACUGAGACACGGCCCAGACUCCUACGGGAGGCAGCAGUAGGGAAUCUUCGGCAAUGGGGGCAACCCUGACCGAGCAACGCCGCGUGAGUGAAGAAGGUUUUCGGAUCGUAAAGCUCUGUUGUAAGUCAAGAACGAGUGUGAGAGUGGAAAGUUCACGCUGUGACGGUAGCUUACCAGAAAGGGACGGCUAACUACGUG